rnacentral:lncRNA from 1 species
CCAUAGUCAGCCCAAAUGAGGUCUUGACCGUCCCUGCUAAACAUGGUGGUUGAUCUAUUCCUAUGCCUGUCAGCCAGUUUCUGGUCAUGCUCUUUGAGCACCUCCUUUGCCAAUUCUGUGCUCGACACUACCACGUUCAGUGUGUAUCCAAUCCACACUGAAAUGAUGGGCCCAUAAAUCUGAGCCCACUCCGCGUAGCAUCGGAACCUCACGGGCGUUAUGUGGUAGAGGUUUCCGAGGACCGGCCACGGACGUGGACCUGGGGGGAGCUUGAAUCUCAGCCGCUGGUAGAGCUUGUAAGCAAGGAAGAUGAGGAUGAGAAGUGAUGAGAUGGGAAGUAAUAGUCCAGAGAAAGCCAUGUGUAAUAUUAGAAGAGAGGGUUACUAUCAAAUAAGGUUAUUGGAAUGGGAAGAGCCCUUGUGGGCGUGUGUAUAUAUAUGGGCCUCGGUCAAUAAAAACAAAAAUUGAUACAUCACAACACAUGCACGCUCUAUAGAUAUUAUAGAUAUCUAUAAUGAAGAAGAAGAUAUUUUAGAUAUAAUAUAUCCAAGAACUCGCUGUUAUUUUAGGUAUGAAUGGUGGUAGAAUUAUUUUCUGGAAGUACUCGCUGUUAUUAACUCAUUAUAUCCAAGAACUCUAGGGAGAGGUUAGGUUGCACACGUGCUUAUCUGCCCCCAAACCAGAUUUAGGUAAAUAAGCGUUUAAUAAGUACACCCUAUUCAUCAUAUUCAACCUUAAUUAAAAGUACGUAGAUAAGUUUCAAAUAAUUUUAAGGGCCUUGAUGCUUCAAAGGCUUAGAGCUUCUUUACAAACAUGGUAAAAGACGAGUGUCGGCAUUUCUCCAUGUACUUGAUCCUUCAAGAUGCAAAAGAUGGGCAGCCAUAUUUGAAUAAAAAAAAUUUAUUCCAGGCUGACUUCUUAGCUCAACAUCAUUCACACAAUAAAGUUAAAGUGGAUGACUUUAAAAUCCUAAUGUUUAAACUUUUCUUCUAACUUGAAAGCAUCCAAAAAGUUCUCGAGGAUUUCAGACUGGUGAUGAUGCAUUUCACUAGUAAUUUGACAGAGAUGUUUGAGUCCCCUCCACAUAUUUUGAACGAGCUAGAAAAUCUACUCCCACAACAGCUUACGAAAUUAAAGAUUUUGAUGCAAACCCAAAAUCUGAAAAGAGGGCACGAAUUCAUGAAAAAGAGAACAUGGUUUAGGAUUGGUAUUAGGGUGUUGUGUGAUAGAAUGUAUUAGGGUGUACCAGGGGUAUUUUGGGUAGUUAAAUAGAAUGUACUUAGUUAAUUUUACAUUUUAAUUAAAAUAUUAGAGUGUACUUGGAUCAUAGAGUGUACUAAGUUAAUUUUAAGGUUCGUUUAACAGCACUCUUAAAAAAAAUAACACAAAAGAAGCUUUCCCUUGAAGAUAAAAUAUGGUUAUAUAAAUUAUGAAGCUUGGUUAUAUAAAAUGGAUGCUUAAUUGCCAAGGUACAGGAAUAAUAUAGAUGUUUUUGUAUUGGGUGGUGUGGGAGGAUAACAUAGGUAGGACCAUUUACAAUGCCUAUGGACUUUUAAACCCAAAAAAAAAAAAAAAAAAAAAAAAAAAAAAAAUUCAAACUUUGAAAGUUAAAAAUAAUAAUAAUAAUUUGAAAACAUAAUUUUAUUUCACUUUAUGAUAAACGUAACAUUACUCAAAUAAAGUUAAAUCGGUAAUCAGUGUAAGCCCACAACUUUUUAAGGUAUGAAUGGUGGUUGAAUUAUUUUCUGGAAGUAGUCACUGUAAUGAAGUUAUUACAUCCAAGAACUCCAGGGAGAGGUUGGGUUGCACCCGUGCUCAUCUGCCCCCAAGCCAGAUUUAGGUAAACAGAUGUAAUAUAGAUUGAGAAUCGAUCUUCCUUGUGCUUUUUUCUUGUUCAAUGUACGUGUUUGGUUUCCUAGUCUAUCAGGAAUAAUAUAGAUGUUGUUGUAUUGGGUUAUAACUUAUAUGGUGUGGGAGGAUAACAUAGACAAUGCAUUUGUAUUUUUAAACCCAAAAAAUAUUUCAAACUUUGAAAGUUAAAAUUUUAAAAAAAAAUUCACUUUAAAUACCUUUCCAUCUUGUCUAUUUUCAAUUUUUCGUAGGGCAUAUUUUUUAUCUUUAUUUCUUAAAAAUCUUCCCUUUUUUUUUAAUUCCCUAUCGUAUCAUGUCUUAUUUUCAUUAUUUCUGACUUAACUCAUCUUUCUUUAUCUUUUGAGUAAGAUAUUUUUUGAAUAUAUCAUUUCUUUGUCUUUUUCUCACUUGCACUGGGCUAUAGCCCCUUAUAGCCUAAGCGUAGUUCCGCCACUUGUCACAAGAAAGAUUGAAUAUCAAAUUUUUACAUUCAUAUCAACCAUGUCACAAGAAAGAUUAAAUGGCUUAGCUAUGUUAUAUAACAUUGGAUAUAUCCAUUGAAAAAGACAUGGUAUAAAAACUUUGAUUAUGUCAAAUUAAUUGAUAGUUCGUAUGAAGAAAAAAAUAUGUAAGAUGUUAAGUGAUGUUUUGAUGCAUUUUAUAAAGUUGUAAUGUGGAUUACAUAUUGUUUGUUUCUUUUUAAGUUAGAAUUGUGACUUUGAAUCCACAUGUCGUGAAAAUCAGUAUGUUUGAUAAAAAAAUAUAUAUAUAUAUGUAAACAAAACCACUAACCCGAUUAAGUGAUGAAGAAAAAUGAAAAUGACUUAGAUCUUCCACUCUCUACCACUUCACUCAAUGUAUUUCAAUGAAUUUUUUAUUUUUUUAUUAUAAACAAAAGGAAGAUUGCAUUCAUAAAUCACGUCAAAUUGGAAUAGAAUCCUGAGAUUCAAUUGAACUUUAAGUUCAAUUUGUAUAUUUGACUUACAUUUAAAACUAAACUCCACAAACUGAAGAUAUAAAAAAUAAAGAUGAAUAUUUAGAAAAAAGAAUGACCUCAUUUUUUUCAAUCCAAGAUUUUUUGGGUUCAUGAGAUCUUGAUCUUGCUCAUUUUUAAAUAUAUAAAAAAUUCAUCCUAUUUGCUGAUAUAAGUUUAACUAAACUUGCAUGAAGGGAUGGGCUAAUAUUUGUGGGAAUAAGGGGAGUUUAUUAAAAUUUGAGUGAUCAAGGCCCAUAAACUUUAAAUUUAUUAGCAAAUUGAAUUGGACAACUGUUAAUAUCAUACUUAUAUGACAUUGCCAUGAACAUUUGUCAUAACAAACUAAAGUUAUAGUAAAUAAUCAAUUAACGCUUUUCAGCUUUUGACCAAAAAACAGUGCUUCUCAAAAAUUGAAUGUUCUCGUCUUUUCAAGUCUAAUUGGCAGGGAACAUUCCUUACAUAAAAUAAUAAUUUCGUGAAUUUAAAGAACCAUUUGUUAAAAUAACCCAAUAUAUGCUUUGCAGUGCAAAUAUUGAAAAAGGAAAAAAGACAAAAAAAAAAAAAGAGAUUUAAAUUAUCAAGUUUGAUUAAUGAUGAAGAGGAAUAUUACAUAUGGUGUCUGCUAAAGGAUAUCCAUAAAAGGGAUGCUUUUAUUUAUUAUUUUUCCAAAUAAGCAGAAGAAAUAAACAGUCCCAUCAUUUCAAUUACUACAACCAUAAGAAUAAAUUUAUUCUUCCAAUAUUUGGACACUAAUUGAGUUCGGUGACCAAAAUCGGUACAUUACAUAUCUGCGGCAACACGUUUGUACAAAUGCGAGGGGAGCCUUGGAGUAGGCACGGCUUGUAAUGGGGUUCUCAUGUAAGUCACAAGCCCUGGAUUUUCCGACAUGUCUAUCUCCUUUGGAUUCAUCCCUUCAGCCGGAGCCCAACUGAAAUGGUGCAAUAGAUGCCCCAACAUGGACACCACCAAAUUCACACUAAGUUGUGCUCCCGGGCAUACUCGCCUACCGGCUCCAAACGGAAGUAGUCUGAAAUCAUGCCCCUUCAUGUCAACAUCCUCCUCUAGGAACCUUUCUGGUCGGAACUCAUGCGGGUCUUUCCAAACAGCGGGGUCACGCGCUACGGCCCAGACAUUUACAUGAACACUCGCACCCUUGGGGAUGUCGUAGCCGCCGAUCUUGACAUUGGCAUUAGCUCGGUGGGGGAGCAUUAGAGGAGUUGGAGGGUGCAACCGCAACGCUUCCUUUGCUACACAUUGUAGGUAAGGGAGAUUUGAGAAAUCGUCUUCGGUCAUGACCCGUUCGAACCCGAUGACACGGUCCAGCUCCUCUUGUGCCUUUUUUUGCACCCUCGGGUUCUUAAUCAACUCAGCCAUAGCCCAUUCAACUGAAAUAGCUGUGGUGUCUGUGCCCGCAGUAAUCAUAUCCUGCAUGCACAAAUGGUAUAACUAAGUUAUGAACCCGAGGCAACAAGGUUAGAAUUUGAGGGUUUGUGCAAAGCUUAGAUUGGGGUCACACACAUAAUAGGAAAAAUAACUCUUCUUUUAGAAAUAUCAAAUCGAAAAAACUGCAUGUAUACAUUACUUACCCAAAGAAGUCCGAUAAUAGUGUCUUCACUAAGGUCAUACUUGUCCUUCAAUGUAAGCAACGCAUCGACAAAAUGCUGCUUGGCACCGCCACUCUUGGUGCGAGCCUGUGUGUGCUCCUCCAUGAUUGCCCUAGUGAGUCGGUCUCUUCGUGCCCCAUGCUGAGCAAACGCCUUUUCCUCCAGCGGGAACAUCCAACGCAGCCAUGGAAUGUGCUCGGCCAUCGAAAGCGACGCACCGAUCUUCACUCCAUUAGAAACAACAGCUUUGAAUUCUUGGCCUUGCUCAUCCAUUUCAUCCUGUGAGUUAACAAAACGCUUUCCGAAUGCUAGCCUUGUUAUGUUGUUGAAUGCCACUCUUCCCAAAUACUUCUUCACCAGCAAACUUUCCCCAUUUUUUUCUGCAAUAUGGUGAUAAAUUAAAGUUAAUCACAAAUUCACAGCUAGCAUAGUCAAGCAAUUUGGGAACAUAAAAUGCAUACCAUGAAUGGUACAGUGUUUGAAAAUGGACUCAACCAUAGCAGUGACCUCAUCUUCCCUAAUGGGUCUGAGAGCUUCAAUCCUCUUUGCAGAAAAAAGCUCAAGAGUGCACACCUUCCUGACCUUAACAUAGUGGGGCCCAUAGUCAGCCCAAAUGAGGUCCUGCCCAUCCUUGCUAAACCUGGCGCUUGAUCUAUUCCUGUGCCUAUCAGCCAGUUUCUGGUCAUGCUCUUUGAGCACCUCCUUUGCCAAUUCUGAGCUUGACACUACAACGUUGAGUGUGGAUCCAGUCCACACUGAAAUGAUGGGCCCAUAGGCCUGCGCCCACUCCGCGUAGCACCGGAACCUCACGGGCUUUAUGUGGUAGAGGUUUCCGACGACUGGCCACGGAAGUGGGCCGGGCGGGAGCUUAAAUCUCAGCCUUUGAUAUAGCUUGUAAGCAAGGAAGAUGAAGAUGAGGAGGAGUAGUAGUCCAGAGAGAGCCAUGUGAAAUGAGAAACACUGAGAUAGAGAGUUCGGAGAAGUGAUUUUGUUUUGAGUUGUGGAUGUGUGGAGUAAUUUAAAGGCACAUGCAAUUGUACGACGAGGUUACCACGUGAUAUUUACUCAACGUAAUUAUGCAAAUUGGACGACCGCAGCUUGGACAAGAUAUACCCUAUAGUGGGGCCAGAAGAAGCAUCGCCCACUCAUAUUCUCAACCAUCAUUAAUAGGACAAGUGUCAACCAUCUAAUGGAUGCCGUUCGAGAUGGGGAGGUAGGUAGUUAGAGCACCCCAGAGCGUCCCCUCUCAACUACAAGUCUACAAAAAACAAAAAAAACAAAAAAAAAGACACACCCACACAACACAACCACCUGAACUCAAAUUGAUCUUUCCAGAUAUUUCUUCCUUUACACAAAGCACACCAUUUUCAUCUAUAGAAAAAAGAUUGUUUGGUAAGGAAGGUGAUGUUGGUUCAAAACGAUCCCAUCAUCGGGGGGAGGAGCGAAAUAGCAAAUAUGAUUUUUAAGGUGAUGGUCACCUUCCAAAGUUGAGCUAGGACUGUGUUGCAACAUUAAUCCAGUAUGCGGACCUGUCACACAAUGGUGUGUGGGCUGGGGGACCGCACAAGACCCCCUGAAAAAACGGCCUACUAUAAAACCUUGUAGUCCAAUAAUUAUAUAAGAAAAAAUGCCUUUAGAAGGAAAUAAAGAGAAUCCAUUUAUAAGGAAGGAAAUACAUGGCAAAAAAAUAAUAAUAAGAAACACAAAAUGGCAGUUGCAUCAUAGUAGCUCAAUAUAAUUAGUGGUGUGUUUACUAAUCAGAAUUUGGAAUUAGAAUUAUGAAUUGAAUUUCAAUUAUGGAGGAUUCAUGCGUUUACUUCAUAUUAAGGAAUAAAAAGUAAGAGGGCUCCACACAAAAUCAUAAGGAAUUCAAUUUUUGGGUGGGAGAUAGUAUUAUAAUUCAUUGAAAAUUAACAUAUUAGGAAUUCAUAUUUUUUAUUCAUUAUAUCCUCACACAAUUUUAAAAAUUCUAAAUUUCUCAUCUACUUUAGCCCAACAACGAUGACAUUUUAGUAAUUAACAACACUCAUACCCCAAUUUCAUAUAUUUUAGUAAACAACUUCAAUAAGAGUCUGAAAUAUAAUUAUCCUCAAUUCAACUCCUCCUCAAUUCAAUUCAUUAUAAUUCACUAAACAUGCCAUAAAUUUAAAGAAUCCAGGCAUGGAUACUUUUUUGACAAGUCCAAAAAGUAUUAGGACACAUAUUUCCUCCAAUCACAGGUGAGCCCAACUACAACAACACAAAAGACCAAAAUCCCAAACUAGACUUAAAGCCUGGUCCACACCAACCACAGUGUUUCAAGUCUAAUUGGCAGGUAACAAUUCGUACAUAAAAUAAUAAUUUCGUGAAUUUAAAGGACCAUUUGUUAAAAUAAACCAUUAUGUUAUUAUCCAAAAACCCUAUGAGGUUGCUCAUUUAGUUCCCAAGCCAACUUAGUACAGUCCCAAACACAUAUCUAAUCUUUUUUUGGUGAAUUUUUCUUACUAAGAAAUUUGAAAAAUCAAGUAUGGAAAUAUUCAACGAGCAAUAUAUGUUUUGCAGUGGAAAUAUUGAAAAAAAAGAAGAUUUAAAUUAUCAAGUUUGAUUAAUGAUGAAGAGGAAUAUUACAUAUAGAGGAGAAAUAAACAGUCCCCUCAUUUCAAUUACUACAACCAUAAGAAUAAAUUUAUUCUUCCAAUAUUUGGACACUAAUUGUGACCAAGAAAGAUACUGAAAUCCUUUCGGAAGAAACUAAAAGGUACAUUACAUUUCUGCGGCAACACGUUUGUACAAAUGCGAGGGGAGCCUUGGAGUAGGCACGGCUUGUAAUGGGGUUCUCAUGUAAGUCACAAGCCCUGGAUUUUCUGACAUGUCAAUCUCCUUUGGAUUCAUCCCUUCAGCUGGAGCCCAACUGAAAUGGUGCAAUAGAUGCCCCAACAUGGACACCACCAAAUUCACACUAAGUUGUGCUCCCGGGCAUACUCGCCUGCCUGCUCCAAACGGAAGUAGUCUGAAAUCAUGCCCCUUCAUGUCAACAUCCUCCUCUAGGAACCUUUCUGGUCGGAACUCAUGCGGGUCUUUCCAAACCGCCGGGUCACGCGCUACGGCCCACACGUUUACGUGAACACUCGCACCCUUGGGGAUGUCGUAGCCGCCGAUCUUGACAUUGGCAUUAGCUCGGUGGGGAAGCAUUAGAGGAGUUGGAGGGUGCAACCGCAACGCUUCCUUUGCUACACAUUGCAGGUAAGGGAGAUUUGAGAAAUCGUCUUCGGUCAUGACCCGUUCGAACCCGAUGACUCGGUCUAGCUCCUCUUGUGCCUUGUUUUGCACCCUCGGGUUCUUAAUCAACUCAGCCAUAGCCCAUUCAACUGAAAUAGCUGUGGUGUCUGUGCCCGCAGUAAUCAUGUCCUGCAUGCACAAAUGGUAUAACUAAGUUAGAAUGUAGGAUCCUUAUAUAUAUGUAUAGUGUUUUCAGAAAGGUAUACGCCCUCCAAGGUAGGAAGCUCAUAACUAAUUAAGAACAUUAAAAAGGAAAUAUGGGUAUUUGGCAACAAGUUUAGAAUUUGAGGGUUUGUGCAAAGCUUAGAUUGGGGUCGCACACGCGAUCUAACAUGAAAAUACUUCAAUAAAAAAAAGUUUUAUCAUGAAGUGGUGUCAUAAAAUAACGAGCAUAAUGAGCACAAAGAGCGUUGCAAACCAACUUCAGCGGGCACACAGUUAUGAAAGUAUGUUGUGCGUUCACGUAUAUGCAUAUGAAAAACAGCUCUUAAAAAUUAGGGGCCUUGUGCUGUGGAACCAUCCCUAUCUGGCAAUGCUUAAUUCUAUCAUGUAUAUGGUUGUAUCCCACAUACUAGGAAAAAAUAACCCUUCUUUUAGAAAUAUCAAAUUGAAAAGACUGCAUGUAUACAUUACUUACCCAAAGAAGUCCGAUAAUUGUGUCUUCACUAAGGUCAUACUUGUCCUUCAAUGUAAGCAAUGCAUCGACAAAAUGCUGCUUGGCACCGCCACUCUUGGUGCGAGCCUGUGUGUGCUCCUCCAUGAUUGCCCUAGUGAGUCGGUCUCUUCGUGCCCCAUGCUGAGCAAACGCCUCUUCCUCCAGCGGGAACAUCCAACGCAGCCAGGGAAUGUGCUCGGCCAUCGAAAGCGAUGCACCGAUCUUCACUCCAUUAGAAACAACAGCUUUGAAUUCUUGGCCUUGCUCAUCCAUUUCAUCCUCUGCGUUAACAAAACGCUUUCCGAAUGCUAGCCUUGUUAUGUUGUUGAAUGCCACUCUUCCCAAAUACUUCUUCACUAGCAAACUUUCCCCAUUUUUUUCUGCAGUAUGGUGAUUAAUUAAUGUUAAUCACAAAUUCACAAUUAAUACACAUUAAGUAUGCAAACUAAUAAAGUAGCAUUGAAUCCAAUCAUACGGUAACAAUAAAUACCAAUCAAUCAACCUCAAGUACUUCCUCUCAGAAAACUCAACUACCAUUAUAGAUAUGCGAGUGUAAUUUGAAUUAAUGAACGAUGAAAUAAACACGUGGUAUAACAUGAGUGAAUUAUAUCGAUGUAGACAAUUAAAAAAGUACAAACUGCAAAUGACAUUUGAAAAACUAGCAUAGUCAAGCAAUUUGGGAACAUAAAAUGCAUACCAUUAAUGGUACAGUGCUUGAAAAUGGACUCAACCAUAGCGGUGACCUCAUCUUCUCUAAUGGGUCUGAGAGCUUCAAUCCUCUUUGCAGAGAAAAGCUCAAGAGUGCACACCUUCCGGACCUUAACAUAGUGGGGCCCAUAGUCAGCCCAAAUGAGGUCCUGCCCAUCCUUGCUAAACUUGGCGGUUGAUCUAUUCCUUUGCCUAUCAGCCAGUUUCUGGUCAUGCUCUUUGAGCACCUCCUUUGCCAAUUCUGAGCUCGACACUACAACGUUGAGUGUGGAUCCAGUCCACACUGAAAUGAUGGGCCCAUAGGCCUGCGCCCACUCCGCGUAGCACCGGAACCUCACGGGCUUUAUGUGGUAGAGGUUUCCGACGACUGGCCACGGACGCGGGCCGGGCGGGAGCUUAAAUCUCAGCCUUUGAUAGAGCUUGUAAGCAAGGAAGAUGAAGAUGAGGAGUAGUAGUAGUCCAGAGAGAGCCAUGUGAAAUGAGAAACACUGAGAUAGAGAGUUUGG